rnacentral:rRNA from 1 species
GACGAGGGGUCCUAGCGUUGUUCGGAAUCAUUGGGCGUAAAGCGCACGUAGGCGGCUUCUUAAGUCGGUGGUGAAAUCCUGGAGCUCAACUCCAGAACUGCCUUCGAUACUGGGAGCUCGAGUCCGGGAGAGGUGAGUGGAACUGCGAGUGUAGAGGUGAAAUUCGUAGAUAUUCGCAAGAACACCAGUGGCGAAGGCGGCUCACUGGCCCGGUACUGACGCUGAGGUGCGAA